rnacentral:rRNA from 1 species
UACGUAGGGGGCAAGCGUUGUCCGGAUUUAUUGGGCGUAAAGAGCGUGUAGGCGGCUUGGUAGGUCUCGCGUCAAAACCUGAGGCUCAACCUCAGUUCGCGUGGGAAACCACCUAGCUAGAGUCCGGAAGAGGAGAACGGAAUUCCCAGUGUAGCGGUGAAAUGCGUAGAGAUCAGGAAGAACACCGGUGGCGAAGGCGCUCUGCUAGGCCGCAACUGACACUGAGGGACGAAAGCUAGGGGAGCGAAUGGG